AAUACCCUACUGUGUGCGUGAUGUGGCACGAGCGUUUUGAGCCAACACCCACUUACGAGGUUCCAAUCUCACGGUAGUGACGCGAUAGGCUUGAGCCAAGGCGGAUCUAUCGGGGCGGACCUUUCUGCGAAAGCAGGUUCAAAACUUUGUCUCACACGGCAUGGUGGGGUACCU
rnacentral:other from 1 species